rnacentral:rRNA from 1 species
AAUAGAUACCCGGGUAGUCCACGCCGUAAACGAUGAGUGCUAAGUGUUAGGGGGUUUCCGCCCCUUAGUGCUGCAGCUAACGCAUUAAGCACUCCGCCUGGGGAGUACGGUCGCAAGACUGAAACUCAAAGGAAUUGACGGGGGCCCGCACAAGCGGUGGAGCAUGUGGUUUAAUUCGAAGCAACGCGAAGAACCUUACCAGGUCUUGACAUCCCACUGACCGCUAUGGAGACAUAGUUUUCCCUUCGGGGACAGUGGUGACAGGUGGUGCAUGGUUGUCGUCAGCUCGUGUCGUGAGAUGUUGGGUUAAGUCCCGCAACGAGCACAACCCUUGAUCUUAGUUGCCAUCAUUUAGUUGGGCACUCUAAGGUGACUGCCGGUGACAAACCGGAGGAAGGUGGGGAUGACGUCAAAUCAUCAUGCCCCUUAUGACCUGGGCUACACACGUGCUACAAUGGACGGUACAAACGGUUGCCAACCCGCGAGGGGGAGCUAGUCCGAUAAAAUCGUUCUCAGUUCGGAUUGUAGGCUGCAACUCGCCUAC